CUUUCCCUCUGGCGGCAGGCCUAACACAUGCAAGUCGAGCGGAUGAAGGGAGCUUGCUCCUGGAUUCAGCGGCGGACGGGUGAGUAAUGCCGAGGAAUCUGCCUGGUAGUGGGGGAUAACGUCCGGAAACGGGCGCUAAUACCGCAUACGUCCUGAGGGAGAAAGUGGGGGAUCUUCGGACCUCACGCUAUCAGAUGAGCCUAGGUCGGAUUAGCUAGUUGGUGGGGUAAAGGCCUACCAAGGCGACGAUCCGUAACUGGUCUGAGAGGAUGAUCAGUCACACUGGAACUGAGACACGGUCCAGACUCCUACGGGAGGCAGCAGUGGGGAAUAUUGGACAAUGGGCGAAAGCCUGAUCCAGCCAUGCCGCGUGUGUGAAGAAGGUCUUCGGAUUGUAAAGCACUUUAAGUUGGGAGGAAGGGCAGUAAGUUAAUACCUUGCUGUUUUGACGUUACCAACAGAAUAAGCACCGGCUAACUUCGUG
rnacentral:rRNA from 1 species